rnacentral:rRNA from 1 species
UGCCUAUAUGAACCUUCCUUAUUAUAGGUACGCCCUGCCCUAUGACUCCCCGUUAAAUGGCCGCAGUAAUUUGUGCAAAGGUAGCAAAAUAAUUUGCCUCUUAAUUAGAGGCCGGAAUGAACGGGUAAACGAUAAGCCCCUGUCUCAAAAGUUAUCCUAAAAACUAUCCUACAAAUGAAAAGAUUUGUAUAUAUAUAAAAGACAAGAAGACCCUAUUGUACUUAACCACCAUAAUAAGCUACCGCUUGUUUAAAAGGUUUAGUUGGGACGACUAUAAAUAUAAAACAUAAUUUACCCCAAAGAAACACAUUUCACAUCCCUGACCCCUCUAGGACCAAAGAAUAAGUAACCAUAGGGAUAACAGGCUAAUCUUCUUCCAGAGCCCGUAUCUAAAAGAAGGCUUGGCACCUCGAUGUUGGCUUAGGGACUCUGACAACUGCAGCAGGUUGUCAUAGAGGGUUUGUUCAACCCUUAAUACCCU